CUCGUCACACUAUCAUUAACUGAAUCCAUAGGUUAAUGAGGCGAACCGGGGGAACUGAAACAUCUAAGUACCCCGAGGAAAAGAAAUCAACCGAGAUUCCCCCAGUAGCGGCGAGCGAACGGGGAGGAGCCCAGAGCCUGAAUCAGCAUGUGUGUUAGUGGAAGCGUCUGGAAAGGCGCGCGAUACAGGGUGACAGCCCCGUACACAAAAGCGCAUGUGCUGUGAGCUCGAUGAGUAGGGCGGGACACGUGGUAUCCUGUCUGAAUAUGGGGGGACCAUCCUCCAAGGCUAAAUACUCCUGACUGACCGAUAGUGAACCAGUACCGUGAGGGAAAGGCGAAAAGAACCCCGGCGAGGGGAGUGAAAAAGAACCUGAAACCGUGUACGUACAAGCAGUGGGAGCACCCUUUGGGGUGUGAC
rnacentral:rRNA from 1 species